GACUAGUGGUGGAUACAUGAACUCACGCAGGUGGUAGAAUUAUACAGACAUUAAUACACACACAGUGAAAGUAAAACUAGGAAAAUCUGCCUAAGGUAAGUAGAUGGAGUUACUGUCAAUGUCCUUGUUUUGCAAAACAUCACCAUUGUGAAAUCCUAUUGAGAAUCUGAAACACAGCCUUGGUUAUAUGCUUUUUUCUUUUUUUACCCUGUAAAAAUGUUCCUUUUACCCUGUAAAGUGUUCCUUUUUAUACUGGUAAGUAUAAAAGGAACAAAUUAUACUGGUAAGUAAAAAUUACUGAUAAAGUAAUUACUGAUAAACAAAGUAACUUUAAAUUGAAUAUGGGAAAUAACUGCUGUGCUGUAUGGUAUAAAUAAAUAAUAUAUUUAUCUAUAACAAUACUACUUUAUAUAAUGGAACUAGAUGUCACAAAUGGCUCUAGUACUAGUAAUGCAAUUAAUCAAUAUAAUGUUUUGUAGGGUUUUGUUUUUUUAUACUCUUUGUUAAGCCUCCAAACUAGCAAGUACCCAUUGCAGUAAAUGAACAAUGGAUUAUUUCUGUUUCCGCGUUUCAGCCAUUAACUCAUUAGUUGCAUAAUCUUAAGGUCAAAUUACCUUGUUGAAGGGGACAGUCUGGAUCCAUUCCGUGGAGCUCACAUCAAAAACGUCUGCUGCAUUUUCACUGUGCACUGAGAGGCACGGGGCAUUGUAACCUGGGAGGAGCAAAGACGGUAACAGCAAACAUGGGCUCCGUGAUACCUUUUUCAGUGAAUUUUUGAUGAGAUAAUUAUACAUUCACAUGUAGUUGUAAAAAUAAUACAGAGAGAUCCCUUGUACACUCUGCCCAGAUUCAAUUCACAACAAAAUAAAACUUCAGUGUCUGGAUUACAAAUAAUUUAAAACAUAGCUAAAAAUGUAAAAGUAAAAACCUGCCGUUUUGCUAAGACCAGACCAUCAAAUAUUUAAGAGCAUUUAACUUCCAGGACUUGUGGAGUAUGCAUGACAUGAGCCACCAAAAAGAAGUUUUUAAAGGAAGAGUUAAAAUAAGUGAAAUUUUUUUCUACCUUCAUCAGUAUAAGCAGUGGAAAACACUUUUGAAAGGGCUGUCCCACCACAUAAAACGUUACAUUUGUGCUUUUCCAGCAUUCUUUUUUUUGUUUGGUUGUAUGUUUUUAUUUUUUAUUAUACUUUAAGUUUUAGGGUACAUGUGCACAACGUGCAGGUUUGUUACAUGUGUAUACAUGUGCCAUGUUGGUGUGCUCCACCCAUUAACUCAUCAUUUAACAUUAGGCAUAUCUCCUAAUGCUAUCCCUCCCCCCUCCCCCCACCCCACAACAGGCCCCAGUGUGUGAUGUUCCCCUUCCUGUGUCCAUGUGUUCUCAUUGUUCAGUUCCCACCUAUGAGUGAGAACAUGCGGUGUUUGGUUUUUUGUCCUUUCGAUAGUUUGCUGAGAAUGAUGGUUUCCAGCUUCAUCCAUGUCCCUGCAAGGGACAUGAACUCAUCAUUUUUUAUGGCUGCAUAGUAUUCCAUGGUGUAUAUGUGCCACAUUUUCUUAAUCCAGUUUAUCAUUGUUGGACAUUUGGGUUAGUUCCAAGUCUUUGCUACUGUGAAUAGUGCCGCAAUAAACAUAUGUGUGCAUGUGUCUUUAUAGCAGCAUGAUUUAUAAUCCUUUGGGUACAUACCCAGCAAUGGGAUGGCUGGGUCAAAUGGUAUUUCUAGUUCUAGAUCCCUGAGGAAUCGCCACACUGACUUCCACAAUGGUUGAACUAGUUUACAGUCCCACCAACAGUGUAAAAGUGUUCCUAUUUCUCCACAUCCUCUCUAGCACUUGUUGUUUCCUGACUUUUUAAUGAUCACCAUUCUAACUGGUGUGAGAUGGUAUCUCAUUGCGGUUUUGAUUUGCAUUUCUCUGAUGGCCAGUGAUGAUGAGCAUUUUUUCAUGUGUCUUUUGGCUGCAUAAAUGUCUUCUUUUGAGAAGUGUCUGUUCAUGUCCUUCACCCACUUUUUGAUGGGGUUGUUUUUUUCUUGUAAAUUUGUUUGAGUUCAUUAUAGAUUCUGGGUAUUAGCCCUUUGUCAGAUGAGUAGAUUGCAAAAAUUUUUCUCAUUCUGUAUGUUGCCUGUUCACUCUGAUGGUAGUUUCUUUUGCUGUGCAGAAGCUCUUUAGUUUAAUUAGAUCCCAUUUGUCAAUUUUGGCUUUUGUUGCCAUUGCUUUUGGUGUUUUAGACAUGCAGCCCUUGCCCAUGCCUAUGUCCUGAAUGGUAUUGCCUAGGUUUUCUUCUAGGGUUUUUAUGGUUUUAGGUCUAACAUGUAAGUCUUUAAUCCAUCUUGAAUUAAUUUUUGUAUAGGGUGUAAGGAAGGGGUCCAGUUUCAGCUUUCUACAUAUGGCUAGCCAGUUUUCCCAGCACCAUUUAUUAAAUCGGGAAUCCUUUCCUCAUUUCUUGUUUGUGUCAGGUUUGUCAAAGAUCAGAUGGUUGUAGAUGUGUGGUAUUAUUUCUGAGGGCUCUGUUCUGUUCCAUUGGUCUAUAUCUCUGUUUUGGUACCAGGCGCCUCCGCAACCUCCCAGGAGCUCUGACCAAGGCGCCUCACUGGGGUGGGGACCUUGCCUCACCUGGGGCCAUUUCAUAAUUCUGAAUCAUGUGUGAUAACGGAGAACUGGAAGACAAGCCUCCAGCACCUCCCGUGCGAAUGAGCAGGACCAUCUUUAGCACUGGAGGCAAAGACCCUUUGUCAGCCAAUCACAGUUUGAAACCUUUGCCUUCUGUUCCAGAGGAGAAAAAGCCCAGGCAUAAAAUCAUCUCCAUAUUCUCAGGCACAGAGAAAGGAAGUAAAAAGAAAGAAAAGGAACGGCCAGAAAUUUCUCCUCCAUCUGAUUUUGAACACACCAUCCAUGUUGGCUUUGAUGCUGUUACUGGAGAAUUCACUGGCAUGCCAGAACACUGGGCUCGAUUACUGCAGACCUCAAAUAUCACCAAACUAGAGCAAAAGAAGAAUCCUCAGGCUGUGCUGGAUGUCUUAAAGUUCUACGACUCCAACACAGUGAAGCAGAAGUAUCUGAGUUUUACUCCUCCUGAGAAAGAUGGCUUCCCUUCUGGAACACCAGCACUGAAUGCCGAGGGAACAGAAGCACCUGCAGUAGUGACAGAGGAGGAGGACGAUGAUGAAGAGACUGCCCCUCCCGUUAUUGCCCCACCACCGGAUCAUAUGAAAUCAAUUUACACACGGUCUGUAAUUGACCCUGUUCCUGCACCAGUUGGUGAUUCAAAUGUUGAUGGUGGUGCCAAGUCUUUAGACAAACAGAAAAAGAAGACUAAGAUGACAGAUGAAGAGAUUAUGGAGAAACUAAGAACUAUUGUGAGCAUAGGUGACCCUAAGAAAAAAAUAUACAAGAUAUGAAAAAAUUGGACAAGGGGCUUCUGGUACAGUUUUCACUGCUACUGACGUUGCACUGGGACAGAAGGUUGCUAUCAAACAAAUUAAUUUACAGAAACAGCCAAAGAAGGAAUUGAUCAUUAAUGAGAUUCUGGUAAUGAAAGAAUUAAAAAAUCCCAACAUAGUUAACUUCUUGGACAGUUACCUGGUAGGAGAUGAAUUGUUUGUGGUCAUGGAAUACCUUGCUAGGGGGUCACUCACUGAUGUGGUAACAGAAACCUGCAUGGAUGAAGCACAGAUUGCCGCUGUAUGCAGAGAGAGUUUACAGGCAUUGGAGUUUUUACAUGCUAAUCAAGUGAUCCACAGAGACAUCAAAAGUGACAGUGUACUUUUGGGAAUGGAAGGAUCAGUUAAGCUCACUGACUUUGGUUUCUGUGCCCAGAUCACCCCUGAGCAGAGCAAACGCAGUACCGUGGUCAGAACGCCAUACUGGAUGGCACCAGAAGUGGUUACACGGAAGGCUUAUGGCCCUAAAGUCAAUGUAUGGUCUCUGGGUAUCAUGGCUACUGAGAUGGUAGAAGGAGAGCCUCCAUACCUCAAUGAAAAUCCCUUGAGGGCCUUGUGCCUAAUAGCAACUAAUGGAAUCCCAGAACUUCAGAAUCCAGAGACACUUUCCCCAAUAUUUCAGGAUUUCUUAAAUCGAUGUUUGGAAACAGAUGUGGAAAAAAGGGGUUCAGCCAAAGAAUUAUUACAGCAUCUUUUCCUGAAACUAGCCAAACUGUUAUCUAGCUUGACACCACUGAUCAUGGCAGCUAAAGAAGCAAUGAAGAGUAACCGUUAACAUCACUGCUGUGGCCUCAUAUUCUUUUUUCCAUUUUCUACAAGAAGCCUUUUAGUAUAUGAAAAUUAUUACUCUUUUGGGGGUUUAAAGAAAUGGUCUGCAUAACCUGAAUGAAAGAAGCAAAUGACUAUUCUCUGAAGACAAUGAAGAGAAAAUUGCAAAAAGAAAAGUAUGACUUUUAUAUGAACCCCUUCUUUAGGGUCCAAAAGGAAUUGUGGACUGAAUCACUAGCCUUAGGUCUUUCAGCAAACCGCCUAUCAGGGCCAUUUAUCAUAUGUGAGAUUUGCAUUUUACUUUACUGACUUUGUUGUAAUAGAUCCCAUUCAUUGUCCCCUUUGGGGUAUUUCCAAUACUUGAAUGGCAGAUUGGAGUUUUUCAGAGUAUUUGUUUCAUCUGCUAGUCUUUCUCUCCUUCAUAGCUUUCCUUUUCCUGGACUUGCUCCUUUUGAGUUGCUUUUGAGUUUCUCAUGCCUAGGUAGUGUAAUAGAAAUUAUGUAGCUCCUUAUGUUGGCAAAGGAGCUCUAUAUAGUUUCACUUUUUAUAAAAGUUAGGACCAGCUGUUGUUACAUGUAAUAUUUUAGUUCAGAACUUGACCUGAAGGAAGGGAAGAAAAGUAUUUGAUUUUUACCUUUUUUAACAAAUGUGAAAAAGUCAGUUUUAGAAAUUUUGUGGUAGUAAGUUUGGCAUUUGUUACAUGUAUAGAGAGAAGACUAAUAAUCUCUAUUUAUAACUAAAUCAUUGAGAUAGAAAAAGAUUCCCAUUGACCGUAUAUUUCUUCCCAUUUCGUCUUCCCUUCUGCCUGUUUCCCCUUCAGGCUUGGCUCUAGGAACCAAAGUGAUUUGUUCUUGUUCCAACCUGGGCUUUGUGACUUUGGUUAGUGCCACUACCUUCUUCCCUCCUUUCCCCCUUCAAUUUGGAAAUAAAUUUCUGUAUAUGUUGCAAUUUUAGGUUUAUUUUUGUUCUUUUUGUUUUUCAUUAAUCCUCUCUCACCUCACAGAUACCCCCCUCCCAUGGCAAAUAAUAUAAUAACCAGUGAAUUUUUGGGAAUUUAAAAUUAGCUUUUUUCCACUUAAAGGAGAAAAAUAUUUGGGACUAGCAGGCGCAGAGUGAGAGACGUGAACCUUGGUGAUCUCUGAUAUAGUGAGAAGAGAUUAUACUCAUGAAAGAGAAUGUUAGUGUUACAGAGAAGCAGCCGAUAGGAAAUCAACUGUAGAGACUUGGAGGCGGCGGCAUCGCUCCAGGUCAUCAUCAGUGUGGUGUUAUCUAUGAGAACUUGAACGACAGAGUAUUUCUUGAUGAAUUUAUAGAUCAUUUGAGAUGUUGAGUUACUUUUGUUUUGUUUUCAAAUAGGUAGAGACUAUUAAUUUAAAAAAACAAGAAAGGAAAAUGAAAUGUGCGUGUUGAGAGCAAUAAUUUGUUUCUUUUAAAGAUUCUGAAAGAUCUGAGACCUGUAGCAUUAAUUAUUUGAGUGCCCUCCCUUCUCCCCUCCCCUCCCUUUCUCUUCUCUUCUUUCAUCUCCUCUCCUUCUCCUUUAUUCAUUGUUUUGCUUUGGAGUAGGUUGUUCAAGUAUUUGGUUUGGUUCUGGCAUUUUGUUCCCACCAUCCCCUUCCCCCAUUAACUUCCCCCCUGCUUGCCAUCCUGCAGUAGUAUAAAUUAUGAAUAAAAAAUAAUUUUGCUGUUGUAGUAUACAUUGGGGAAACUAGCAGGGUUUUAUUUCCAUUAUUUUAUUCCCACUAUAUCUAUGAUAAGAUACAAUUAUAAGGAGAGAAGUGACUGUUUUUUAUUGAUAAGGCAAGAUUUUCAGAAAAAUGAGUAAAAUAAUUAAUGAAACAUAUUUAGGGCACUUAAUGGUCUCUGUUUUCAAUAUAAUUCUUGAUUUCAUUUUUCUCUGGAAUAUAUUGGCCUUCUACAGCUAUUACUGAAUUACAGAAACUGGUUUAUUUCUAUCAGAAAGCUGCAGUGCCACCUGAGUUCCAAAUUUUAACAUUCUUUGUAAACGGAUGGAUUAUGAUAAAGAAGAUGCUACCAAUGAAAUAGAAAUUUUCUUCUGCUGCUUUUAGGGACAGUUAAAACUGGGAAACUAUGAAACAUGGAACAUUUUAUCCUACCUAGAAUAGUAAAUGAGUAAUUGUGAAGCGUAAGACACCGAGGCUAAUACAACUCUGUCUUCAUGUGUCGAGUGCCUGGCACAUAGUACUAAUUCUCUUCCCUUUAACAUAUAAAUGUUAAGCUGCUUAGAGUCUAGUAACCACCAACUGUAAACGAGCCUGUGCCUUUAACAAGAAAUUUUAAACUACCUAUGAGUAUUUCUUUAUAGGGCUCACUUAAAUACGUUUGUAUAUACUGUAUUCUAGCCAGAAUAAUUUUAGAUCUGAUCAGGUAGUAGCUAAAAUUAGAAAAAAACAAAAUAGGUGCUUAAAGAAUUUGCAUCCAUUUUUGAGUCUAAAUCUUUUUAAAUAUACUGAGAUCCACAUCUAGUGAAAUGUCAGUGUCAAAAUAUUAUAGAUUAUAGCUAAAAUCCAGAUUAAUACUCAUUUGGGGUUUUUUUAUAGUGGAACUUCAUAGUAAUACAAGAAGCAGAUUGUCUUCCUGUCUCCGCUGCUCCCAGCUGGUGAAAUCAGUUUUUUGAUAGUGUGUUUAUAUAAGAAAAAAUAUAUACACACAUUCUUUUUUCUCAGUCAACACACUGAUUGAACACUCUGGCAAAGAUGCUGUGGUAGACGAGGUUGGAGUUAGAAAGAAGAAGCAAGCACUGGCCUGGCCUUGAAAGAACGGAAGUCUUUCCCAUUCACCUCUCUAGAAUGCUGCCAAGACAGAGGCAGAAAGAAAUGGAUGAUAAUUCUGUCAAGCACACUUCUAUUCUUUAUUAAGAGAAACAAUUAUGUUUGGAAUUCAGCAUCUUUGGUUGGAACACAUUGGCUUUUUUUUCUUGUUGUGAUAGAAAUGGAAUUAAGUAAAAUUAUAGUUUGUCUUUUCUGUUGUCUUCAAAUUUUAUAAUGUCUUUUAUUUUUAAUUUAAUCCCAUUCAAUUAUUUAAUUGUUAUACAUUGACAUUAACUGCUGUAUUUUAUGACUUUGUUCAAUAAUUUUGUUCUUUCAGGGCUAGAAAUAAACUUUUUUAAGAAAUGUGC